rnacentral:rRNA from 1 species
ACGGAAGGCAGCGGCUAAGAAUAUUCCGCAAUGGACGAAAGUCUGACGGAGCGACGCCGCGUGGAUGAUGAAGGUCGGAAGAUUGUAAAAUCCUUUUAUGACUGAGGAAUAAGUGAAGUGAGAGAAACGCUUCAUGGUGACUGUAGGUUAUGAAUAAGCAACGGCUAAUUACGUGCCAGCAGCCGCGGUAACACGUAAGUUGCGAGCGUUGCUCGGAAUUAUUGGGCGUAAAGGGCAUGUAGGCGGUUUUGCAAGCUUGGUGUGAAAUCCCGGAGCUCGACUCCGGAAUUGCGUUGAGAACUGCAUAACUAGAGUCACUGAGGGGCAAUCAGAAUUCCAGGUGUAGGGGUGAAAUCUGUAGAUAUCUGGAAGAAUACCAAUGGCGAAGGCAGGUUACCAGCAGAUGACUGACGCUGAGGUGCGAAGGUGCGGGGAGCAAACAGGAUUAGAUACCCUGGUA